UACCGCUGGAGAAGGAUUGGACAUAAAAUAUUCAAUAAUCAAAUCCCACCAUUUAAAUAAUAAACACACUCUAGAAUCACAUGCAUGGACACAUCAUCCAGAAUUCAUUACCCUUUAAAUCUGAACAAAUUGUGAAAUCUCAUCAGCACUACAUUGCAAUUAUGUUUAGCCUCUUUUAUUGGAACAAAAUACUGGCAAAUUUCAAGUUUAUAGAAACAAAUCUGCAUUUGUAUAGUACACCAGAUGCUCUUACUCGUCGCUGGAUAAAUUUGCUAGAAGCAAAUGCCAUAUUUUGAUUUAUAGUUUACUUCCGUUUAUAAAAUACAGCAACGUGCACCAAAACCAAGCCAUUAUGCUGGGAAUCGGACAGCGAUUUAUGUUUCACCUUGACAAACGUGAUUGGGGUAGUGGUGCCCUUAAUAACUAGCAGGAUAGUUGUAACUGGCGCCGAAACGGAAAAUAGAGCCAUCUCGGCACGGCACCAAUUUCCCCUGCGUUGCCGAUUUAGUGUGACGUUCAAGUCAGACCCUGCUCAAAUGUGCAGCCUGAAAAAACGUUCCACAUCUGCUCUCAUCAACACUUGGGAGAAAGAAUCGACAGCAUAGGCAGGUAAGGCCUUUUUUUCUCAAGCACAGCCAUUUUGUACACGACUACACGGCGCCAUAUUCUGAAACCGCCAUGUGACUCUAUUGUGUGUGUCCAGAUCUACAUUUUACGGGGUGGAAUACCCGCAUAACAGACAUCCGGCCAACGAACGCAGCACAACCACGCCCCUUCGCUUUUCGCCAAUAAAAAUACAGCAAAGAACUAUGACGACACAAAAACGAGCGAAAUCCAUUGGUUGUUUCCCUUUGUAUAUAAGGAGAGGGUGGGCAAACCGGUGAUCUUUUUCCACCACCUUAGCUACGGCUGUGCGCCAUUAAGGAUAGUGUACUUUUCAAUCAGAUUAGAUUGUAACCAUGGCCGGAUUCGGUGCAGCUCCAGACUUCAAUGAAGGGUCAAAGAUCAAUGCCAGCAAAAACCAACAGGAUGAAGGUAAAAUGUUCAUUGGAGGCCUUAGUUGGGAUACAAGCAAGAAAGACCUAACCGAGUAUCUGUCUCGGUUUGGGGAGGUGUUGGAUUGCACAAUCAAAACUGACCCCGUGACUGGGCGAUCAAGAGGAUUCGGCUUUGUUCUCUUCAAAGAUGCUGUGAGCGUUGACAAAGUUCUUGAAACAAACGAGCAUAAACUAGAUGGCAAGCUUAUUGAUCCAAAAAGAGCUAAGGCACUGAAAGGCAAAGAGCCCCCCAAGAAAGUCUUUGUUGGUGGACUCAGUCCUGAAACAACAGAGGAGCAGAUCAAGCAGUAUUUUGGUGGAUUUGGAGAAAUUGAAAAUAUUGAACUGCCAAUUGACACAAAAACAAACGAAAGGAGAGGCUUUUGUUUUGUCACCUACACAGGUGAAGAACCAGUAAAGAAGCUUUUGGAAAGCCGGUUCCACCAAAUUGGUACAGGAAAGUGUGAAAUAAAAGCUGCACAGCCCAAAGAAGUCUACAGACAACAACAACAGAAGCAGCAGAGGGGAGGAAGAGGAGCAGUCACUGGAAGGGGUGGUACCAGAGGAAGAGGCAGAGGUCAAGGUUGGAAUCAAGGCUACAACAACUACUAUGAUCAAAACUAUGGCGGAUAUGGAAACAAUGGUUCCUAUGGUGAUCAAGACUAUAACAGCUAUAGUGGUUAUGAUUACUCUGGGUACAGCUAUGGAUAUAACCCAGGAUAUACUGAAUAUAGUGGGCAACAAAGCACAUACGGCAAAGCAAGAGGUGGAGGAAACCAUCAAAACAACUACCAGCCUUACUAAUGCAAUGACAUUAAAACUAAGCGGGAACUUCAUUGCAGGCCGUGUGUCACCCUGUCCACGUCUAUCUCUGGGGUCGCACGUUGUGGGCAGAGCGCAAGGCAUACACCAGAAACCGCUGUCCUGUGGUGGAGAUGGUUGGAAGAGAAGAACGUCGCGCAGCAAUGCUGAGAGCACCAUCACAUUAUCCUUAUGAGAGGACUAUAAAUAACCAAGGCACAAAGUGUCUUGCUGUAAAUAGGAAGUGGAAUUUUUUUUAUGGCAUUUCGCCAUCUGUAUGGAAAGGGUUUUAUGUUCAGCAAUAUUCUUUUUAAGUUUACCACAUUAUUUGUGCUUGUGAAGUGAUCAGUGCAUUCAAAUUUGAUGUCAAUGAAGUUUGUAAUAAAAGUGAGAACAAU